UAGUGAGUGAAGGAGCCGGGAUCCAAAGCCAAGUAACCAGGCCUCCCCUUUACCCACCACACAGUACUUGCGUCACCUCCUUAGAAAUAAAUGCUUAAAAGAUAGCAACCGAUACACUGACUUAUUAAUGUAUCAAAUGCUUUCGGGAGGUGACAGAGGUGGGGGCAGAGUUCUGUCUGUGAACCUGGGAAAACCCGAAGCCAAACACCUAGACAUGACAUUCUCAACCUGGGAAAGAAGCAAUACUGGGAGAAGUGUGCUGCAUUCACACGACAGACCUCUUUAGUGUCACUGGCUAUAAGGGACCCUCUAAGCAUUAUGGAGGACAAGGACAAGUCAGUUCAACAUGGAAUCGCUGAGCAUCUGCCGUGUGAUAGUUACAGGUCUAGUCCUGGUGACAGGUAUUUUUUUCAACGGUUAAGUGACACUUUCUCACUUCUACGACCUAAAGAUGCCCAGGCACAGAUAUGAGACUGUCUGCUUGUAAUGCAGAGCUCGCUGUGUGUCACCCUCCCCCCAAAAUGGCACUGACAACAAGGCCACAGGAAGAAUGGAGGGGCAGAGGCUUCCUGGAGAAGACAGGGCUUGACGAGGCCUCAAUGCAUCAGGACAAGCACAGAAAACGGGACCAGGUGAUGCAGCGGCGUACCACUUUCAGAGAGCCAGGGAUCCGGCCCCAGGAGUGGAAGAGCUGUGUUGGCAGAAUACUGGAAGGAGGAUAAGUCAGACAGGUGAAGUGCCCAGCCGAUGGUAUCUCAGCUAGCAAAUGAUAGUGCCAAGUCUUCAACGUGGGUUUCAUAAUGAAACUUCUGGGGAAGCGAAAUGAGAUCUUCCAAGGGGCCUGAAUCCUUUCCCAAAUGGCAUCUUGGGGCUGCAUCUGACCCACCUGUUUGCAUGGAAAACCCCAAGGUUCGCUGAAACACCUCCGGAAUGACUACAGGCCAGAAUAAUAAACGUAGCCUUACUUCAUUUUUCCAGCACGAAUUUUCCCAUUAGACACAGCCAGCUGCGGAUUAUCAUUCAGGGCCGUUCCAGGUCCACCUGAAAAUGCGCAUGUCUAUCCUCUACACCUAAACUAACUUUGCCUAACAAAACUUCCAAAUCCACAAUGUAGUAUCUUAGCAUCAUGCUUCCUGAACUUGGAGCUCUGAACCUUGAAGCAACUGGUGUUAAACAAAAUUUAACAGAAUCAAAUUUAAAAGAUCUUAUUGGCUUUAUUCAACUAUUCAUGAAUCUGGCAGCAUCCCAUGUAGCAGAUAAAAAGGAGCUCUGAGGAGCUGGACAAUGUGAAAGAUUUUAUAGGCAGAAGGGAGCCGAACAAGUGAUACUAGCAAAAACCAGAUUAUUUUCCUGGAGGGUUUAGCAGGGGCCUAUCAGGCAGAUUACCGGGUCUGUGCUGACCGCGUUAUUCCUGAUUGUCUGGUUUAAGAUUCCAUUUCUGGGAGAUCCUGAAACUGUAAUGUAGUCUCAGUUUGGUGAGGUGGGGCCCAUUUUGGGCCCAUUGUCGCAUUUGUAAUAUUGCUAUUUAAUCUCUUAAGGGGUGCCUGGGUGGCUCAGUCAG